CUGGAAGCUAAACUGAAGGAAGAGUGGGCUGUCUGACGAUUUGGUGAUGACUCUUGCUCAGAAGGGAGGAAUGGUUCAAUUGAACUGUUAGCACUGUGAAGUAUCCUGACCAGACAGGACCAUGAGGUGCAGAGCCUGAAUGUGUGGCAGCUACACACCAGCCCUGGUUGAAGUCAGUGGGAAUACUGACCCUCCUUCCGGAAGAAGCCACGGAAGCUGUCAACCAGUGGACAGCUUUUCGUUCUCAGCAAGGUGCAGGCUGUCUUUCUGGUCGGCGACAUGGUGGAGACACCUUCAGAGCUGCAUAUGACCCAUGAUUGGUGGAUGUGAAUCGUGACUAGAUUUUGACGCCUUUUACAGUUCAUGCAAGC
rnacentral:lncRNA from 1 species